CUCAGCAACAAAUAUUUUUCUAAACUGGCCCUUGACGAAAGAUGAGUCUCGUUGCAGUUGGGACGCGCUUUAGUUGCUGUGUCAUUGUGAGGGGGUGGCUGUUGUAAGAAAGAGGCGGUUCAUGGAUUGAGGCCGUCAAAUUAAUUCAGAAAGCUUGGAGAAAGCAUCGAAGAACGAGGAGGAUCAAAGCAACCAAAUUAACACAGCAAGCUUGGAGAGACUACCAAACUGGACGAAGGCUCAAAGCAACCAAACUAAU